GCAGCUGUAGCUCAGUGGCAGAGCACUUGCCAGUCAUGUAUGAGUGAGAUCCUAGAUUCAGUCCCCAGCGUUGCA
rnacentral:tRNA from 1 species